UUUACGUCGAAUUUUUUUUUUUAUUUGCGCUUGACGAAUUAUUUUUUGACACUGAUAAAUCCACAAUUGAUAAUCAUAUUCAUCUGCCAUUGAAAUUUCGAUAAGUCACUUAAAUUUGAUGUUAAGAACUAGCUUCUAGCUAGGUGGAGCUAUAGUUUGACGCUCAAAGCUAG